rnacentral:rRNA from 1 species
GGGGGAUAAAUUAAUAAAGUAUAAAUAAUAAAAAAAUUUUUAAUAUUAAAAUAACUUAAUGGGGGUUAAAGUAUUUUUAAUAGAAAAAAUAAUAAAAAAUUUAUAGAAAAUUAGUAUUGUAAAAGAAAUUUGAAAUAUAAUGAAAAUAAAUUUAUGUUAAAGUAAAUUUAAUUUAUUGUACCUUGUGUAUCAGGGUUUAUUAAUAAUAUUUUUUAUUUAAAAAUUUUCUUGAAUUUAAAAGAGAUAAUUAGUUAUUAAAGUUAAUGUUGUAUAAUUAUUUUAAAUAAUUGAUUUGAAAUGAAAUGUUAAUCGUUUUUAAAUAUAUCUAGUUUUUUUAGAAAAAAAUUUAAUUUUAAAUUUUAGAAAAUAUAAUUUUAAUUAAUUAAAAUUAUAUUUUUAAAAUUAAGUAUUUUAAGGGAUAAGCUUUAAAAUAAAUUUUUAUAAUAAAUUUAAUAUUAAUAAUUAAAAUUUUUAAGAUUUAUAUUGUUUAUAAAUUAUAAUUUUUUAUAAAUAAUUUUAAUUAAUUUAAAAUUUAAAAUUUAUUUAAUUUUUUAUUAAAAAAUAUUUUUUAAUAAUUUAAAUUUAGAUAUAAUGAUAAAAUUAGUAUAUAAUUGAAUAAAAAUAAUUUAUUAUUUGAUAAUUUAAUAAAAGGAAUUCGGCAAAAAUUUAUAUUCACUUGUUUAUCAAAAACAUGUCUUUUUGAAUUAAUAAUUUAAAGUCUAAUCUGCCCACUGAUAAUAUAUUAAAGGGCUGCAGUAUUUUGACUGUACAAAGGUAGCAUAAUCAUUAGUCUCUUAAUUGGUGACUUGUAUGAAAGAUUUAAUGAGAUAUAUACUGUCUCUUUUUAAUUUGUAGAAUUUAAUUUUUUAGUUAAAAAGCUAAAAUUUAUUUAAAAGACGAGAAGACCCUAUAGAGUUUUAUAUUUAAAUUAUAUUAAAAUUUUUUGUAAAAUUUAUUAUUUUAAUAUAUAUAUAAAUAUUUUGUUGGGGUGAUAAAAAAAUUAAAAUAACUUUUUUUAUAAUUUUACAUUAAUAAAUGAAUAAAUGAUCCGUAAUUUACGAUUAUAAGAAAAAAUUACCUUAGGGAUAACAGCGUAAUUUUUUUUUUUAGUUCUAAUAAGAAAAAGAGUUUGCGACCUCGAUGUUGGAUUAAGAUAAAAUUUAAAUGCAAAAGUUUAAAAUUUUUGAUCUGUUCGAUCAUUAAAAUCUUACAUGAUCUGAGUUCAAACCGGUGUAAGCCAGGUUGGUUUCUAUCUUUAAAUUGAUAAAAUAUUUUAGUACGAAAGGAUUAAAUAUUUAAAAUAAUUUUAUAUGUUAAGAAUUUUAAUAAUAAUAAUAAUCAAUUUAAAUGUA